UACGUAGGAUGCAAGCGUUGUCCGGAAUUAUUGGGCGUAAAGGGCUCGUAGGCGGUCCAUCACGUCGGGAGUGAAAAGCUGGGGCUUAACCCCAGUCCUGCUUCCGAUACGGGUGGACUAGAGGUAGGUAGGGGAGAACGGAAUUCCUGGUGUAGCGGUGAAAUGCGCAGAUAUCAGGAGGAACACCGGUGGCGAAGGCGGUUCUCUGGGCCUUACCUGACGCUGAGGAGCGAAAGCGUGGGGAGCAAACAGG
rnacentral:rRNA from 1 species